CCUUCCCCUUUUCAAGAUGCCAUCACAGCCGUCCGAUUAUUCCACCAAUUGUACAUGUUACAAUUCGCCAGUCAACAUUACGACGCCGUUGAUCGAUCCUGCCGUUGAGAAUAUAUCCCACCCACUCAUUUUCAGCUGUUGGAUCAUUAAUCCCUACAAUAAAUAUACCUUUCCUUUAUCAUUUCAUUUCCCAGCCGCCUCGGUCACCUAGCUCGUGACCUCUUUCUUCACGCCGGAUUGGUGACUUCUUCCUUUUUUCCGUCAGAUUCAUUCAGAUCGCGAGGCGAUCUACGUUUUGGUUAUGGAAUUUCCGAGUUUUGUUAUGUUGUUGAUUUUUCUUCGCUUGAUAGAUUGGUCUCCUGGUUGUUAUGCUGUCUGCGGCUGUGAAACGCCGAAGUUUGGCUAGAUCUGCAAAAGUGUUGGACGGAUGUCACGGAUCGUCAAAGGUAUCUUGUAGAUCUGUGUUCUUAUUGCAGAUUUGAAUUUUUAACGCAUGGCGAUUGGAUUGGAAACAUCAGUGUCUGUGGAUCUGGAAACACGGAGACAUCUUGAGAAGACACGAUUAUUUGACGGAGGACGUUCACAGUUAUGGCUUCGUUGUGGUUUUGUCUAUGAAUCCGAGGCUCUGGUGGACCGGCCGAGUGAUUUAAGGGAAGUUAAUUUUUUUAUGCUGUGUUAUUUGAUGUGUUAUUCUGUCUGUGUAGACUCGACGAAUUGUUGAGGCAUCAGACUGUAAAAAACUAAAAAAUGAGUGAGCUAUGUGAAAAGUGAGGUGAGGAGUGGUUGUCUGCAUGACCUUUGCCAUGAUGGGUGCGCUCGCAUGGCAGGUCGCCCGUUAAUGAAAAUUUCUAUUUUUUGGUUUCGAGGGGAGAUGGUACGGGGAUUUGCCCGGCUCUCCCCCUGUGUCUGGUGUCCUCUGGUGUCCUCGUCUCUCUCCAUCUGCUCAUCUUUUGCGUAUUCAAUCUUUAUAAUGCAUGCAUGCUAAUUUCAAAUCCAGCAAUUUGGUCUUGAAUCGGGAUGUGAACCAUUUAAUGCAAAAUAUAACGCAUUCAAGACCGAAACGUCUCCAUUAUUUGAAAGUGAAAUAUUGGGAUCGAUCAAUUUGAGGCUGCAAUCUGCUAUUCAGCAUUCACUACUACAGAGGUACCAAUUUGCACUUUCUCCGUAUCUACUUAUCUUGUUCACUUGCAAAGCUUUACAUUCUUAAUACUUAAAUUACUUCUAACUUUUUGUUGGUUUACUGGCUCAAAUUAUCUUUUGUCGUUGCAAAAAUAGGGUUUACUGUGAGGUCUGUUUGCGUCUUACUAUCUUUUAAUAACUACAGAUAAACUCCUGAAAAAAUAAUACAGUUAGAGCUAUAUCAAUUUCAAAAUACCUUUGAUUCACUUUUUUGGGAAUAACCCGAUGCCAUAACCUAUUCCUGCUAUGUCCAUAUCUUGACUAAAUUAAAACGUGCCAUCUUCCCCCUUAUAUGAAUUGAAUCAUAACAUGGUUAAUUGCUAGUAUUUUUAACACUGGCUACAAAAUAUGAUCUCCACACAAUUUUAAUUGAUAGCUAACUAUCCAUUCCCGUACAUCAUUACUUUUUAACUAGUUCACAAGCUAUCAAAAUCUCACUGUACAAUGCGUCUUUUAAUCUCACUGUACAAUGCAUCUUUUAUAGUACCUUUGCACUUUGUUUAUUCUUCUCUGUAAAGUAAUACCAUAUCUGGUUUGUUGGUUUUUCCCUCUGUCGAGGUUACUAGCUAAUGAUUUAAGAUUAUUAAUGUAUUACGGUUUAAAUUCAUCUGCAUCUGAAUGGUUGUAGGGUCUGUAGUGUAGUUUAAAGCUGUAGCUUGGUUGUAAUAGAUCAGCUAUUCAGUAUAUGGUUUGUUGCUCACUGAAUUUGGAGCAGUACCUGGUAUGGUGGUUUCUAAUUGAGCCAGUCCAGUUUACAUGAGGAGUUGCUAUUAUUAUGGUGGCUGUGUCUGUUUAUUGGAUACUUGGUAUGUAUGUUGGAUUUACUGCUGCUGCGUUGCUGUACUUCUGUGGUUUCGGCUGCUGCUGCUUUUGCUUUGGAGCUUCUGGUGAUCGUUCUCAUAAUUGUUGGUGCUUAUCUGUCAAUGAUUCUUCAGUUGCUCGUAUGCGCAUAUGCUUCGUCUGUCUCUCCAAGUGUAGUUGAAGAUAAUUGUCAAUAAUAGCAUGAAUUGCGAUAGCGAUGUACAUCGGCGAGUCACAUUAUCCUGGUGGCGAGACCCAGUUUUGAGGCGGCGUUGGGAACCAAUUCCCCGGUGGGUACCCUCCAUUUCUCGUUGGGUAUCGGCUGUACCCUCCGUACCAAGGAGGCAGGUACCCAGCUAUGUCGGUGCUAGUGGACCACUGAACCACCCAUCGAUGUUCGGGGACAAUGUCUAUCGGCCCAACAUGGAUGGGUUGGCCGAUCGCGCGGAUGAUCCCGCUUUGGCGGCCAUUUAGUUUUUCAGCAUCGACUGGUUCACGUUCGGACUUAGAUAUUUCUAUGUAUAGAGAGGAGAAUCCUCGACCGAAGAGAGAUGGUGGGGUUCCCGGCGGGGAAGGGAUUUGUCGGCAAGCUGUCUCAAUCUGAGUGUAGAUCUAAGAGGACGAACUACGCUCCGGCUGAGUCAAUUGUUGUUGCUAGGUGUUGGGUCGAUAUGUCAGAGACAAAAUUAUGUCGGAUAUGCAAACACAACAAGGGUCAUAGGAUGCAUAUUGCGGAUAGAUACCAAACAAUGAAGCUAGCAGGUACGAAGUAUCACAACGGGGGCAAGCUCUGCAAACAUUUUGAUUGGAUGAAGGCCGACGUCGCCAAAUUCAACGACAUCUACGGGAGCAACCUUCAGACGAUUAUGAGCGAAAAGAGUAUGGACGACGUGAAAGAAUUGUCAAUAUGGGAGUUCUCCCACAAUGCCCGUUCAAGUAUUGGGAUGUCUGGCAAAUCUUGACGGAGCCUCCCAAAUUCCAAGAGGGGUUAGAGCCAAAUGCCCCGAACGUCUCUGUCACCUACAACAGCAGCACCGGCGGUAAAUCCAACGAUAUCAACGAAGAUGCUGAUCCUUUUCCUUUGCCUCUUACCCAGAGGCGUCCGAUUGGCAUGAAAACAAUCAAUCGGAAGGGGAAGACAACGGCCAACAGGUUCUCAGAAGUUCAAUCAUGAUUGGGCGCUACAAAUUUGAUCCAAAGUUUCAUGAUCCUGUAGAAUGGUUUUCUAUGUUUUUUUUCUCCAGUUUAUUUCAUUUUUGUUAUUUUAAUAUUUGAUAAACACCAACAAUUAAAAUGAAUUAUAAAGAGAUAGUGAGAUAGAUUGUGAGAUAGGCUGAGAAUGGGUUGUGAUGGGCUGAGAUGGACUGUGAGAUAUGCAGUUGAAUGUGGCAAGAGGAAAAUGGAGUUGGACUAUUCAUAUUUUGAAUUCUCUUAAACUAACUUUUCUUUUUAUC